rnacentral:rRNA from 1 species
UACGAAGGGGGCUAGCGUUGUUCGGAAUCACUGGGCGUAAAGCGCACGCAGGCGGGUCGUUAAGUCAGGGGUGAAAUCCCGAGGCUCAACCUCGGAACUGCCUUUGAUACUGGCGAUCUUUGAGUCCGGGAGAGGUGAGUGGAACUCCGAGUGUAGAGGUGAAAUCCGUAGAUAUUCGGAAGAACACCAGUGGCGAAGGCGGCUCACUGGCCCGGUACUGACGCUCAUGUGCGAAAGCGUGGGGAGCAAACAGG